rnacentral:lncRNA from 1 species
AUAACCCCCUGCCCAUUCCCCAGAACAGGGCCCAGGGCAUGGCUCCCCACCCACUUCCAGCCCCGAGACACUUGUGGACCAGAUCCUGGAGUCUGUGGACUCAGACUCCUAAGGGAUAUUCAUUGACUUUGGGCAGGGAAUUCGCUCCAGUGUGUCUGACUUUGAGGCAACAUGUGGCUGGCCGAGUGUUGUGUAUUGGCCUGAAGUUAGUUCAUGUUUUUACUGCCCCUGUGUGUUUGCAUGUCUUGUAUGUGUGCGUGAGAGACUUGUUACUCUUUCCUAACCUUACCAGCCCCCUUUCACUGCCUCAAGUCACUUCGUACUCCCCGUCUGUUGGAAAACCCAUCCACCACCACCACCAUCCCCUGCUCACCCAAGGGCUGAUUGGGACACCCAGUCAGCACCAUCCAGAUACAUACUCAACCAUCUGGAGGAUGGGGUCACCAUGUGCCCUCCUGCCUGUCCCACCUUUGGUGCCUACAACUUACCCAGGAAAAUGUGAACCAGUAGGCUCACCUGCCACAGCCACUCCAGUGGAGUCUGCGUGACAGGAAGCUCUUAUGCUUCGUUUCUAUCCAGAACAGAGGCAUGUGCCUGGAAUGGCUUGGCCUCCUGGAGGUCCCUGGCAGUCUGCCUACAAAUAGAUGAUGACCAGGGUCUAUGCUUGUGGUGGAGGUGCCUUCUGUGUUCUAGCCUUGGUGAUCUUAGCAACUUUAAGCCUGUCAACAAUAUCUGGUUUUAAGAACAUAGCAGGGGCUGGGGAUUUAGCUCAGUGGUAGAGCGCUUACCAGGAAGCGCAAGGCCCUGGGUUCGGUCCCGGAGCCCGAAAAAAAAAAAAAAAAAAGACCCAAAAAAAAAAAAAAAAAAA